GUGGAGUGUAUACAUUUUGGAACCCUUCCCCUUCUUGAAUUCUGCUUCGUCGCCCCGGACACCGACGCAAUGUCUUCCUCUAGCAUUGCCAUUCGGCUUCCUCUUUCUUCCUCCGCAGAUUUUCCAGAGAAGUAUCGUAUACACCCUGGCCGGUCGUGUGUAUGUCUUGCACAUUCAAUGUGCUUUGCUUCCUUGGAGGAAACGUUGAAGGGGAUUCGUGUUUGGCCUUAUACAAUCCAUCCAUGCACGGAGACCAUAUUUCAUGUUUGAUGGUAUUCUUGCAAAAUCGUUAGUGUUGUCUCCAUUUCCAUGUUUUCAUUUGUUUCCUUUCUAGUCUUCUCUUCCUUGUAGUUAAGAAUGUUAUUCUUUUCCUCUCUUGGUGAAGUAGUUUCGACAGUUGUAAGUUUAUUUAUGCCUAUUGCAAUGAAAUGGUUUUAACAUCAAAAUAAGGAUGUAAUUCAAAAUUUUGGCAAGGUGAUGAGAAGUUGCAUUUGCAAAGGCUUUGACCAAUAAAGAACCUAAAUUAUCUUUACUAUUGGUGGGUGCCAAAGUAUUGAUUAGUGCAUGAAUAUAUUGAGAAACAUGUCUGGACAAUAAUCACAAAGAACAAAUAAUGUCUUUAAUGAGCCUAAACAUGUGGAAGACUUAUAAUAGGAUUUAGGAUGCUUUGUAAUCCUCAAUCCUGAGGAGUUUACCUUUGAUAGUCUAUUGGUCUUGUAAUACUGUCUCCUUGGGGAGAGUAUGCCGAUGGUUUUAUUUAUUUGUGCAUGGAAGCCUUUUUUUCAUGCUUGAUUCCUUUUUGAAGUUAUUAGGGUUGUCUAGAUUUGCUUUCUUUUGUUCGUUUUUUUGGUCAAGAAGAUCAUGUCAUUUCCAGCUAUUGUAAUUUUAAUUGUUCUAAAUUGAAGCAUGUUACGAUGAUAUGGUUUAGCACAUGUCCCUUGCUUUUUGUAUUUCAGAUAUCUUUAAGUUUAACUUUUGUUCAAAAUUUUGGUUUACUUUCAACUAAGUGAAGUAGUGGUAGUGAGCACAUGGAUUUCUGUUAGAAAAUUAUCCUUGCUCAUGAAAGGAAAUAAUAUUAAGUAUUCAAUAAGUGAAUUGUUGUCUUAAAUAAGUUAAACAUGACUAAAGGCUGUUACAGGGUUGAGUGUGACUUCAAUUUUGGUUAUUUUAUAAUUUCCCUUGAACAUUAGUUUGGUUUGUAGAUUUAGUAAAAUUUGCAUUGGCAAUUAUUGGUUCUUUGUGAUCUUGAGUAGUUGGUUUUUCGUUGCUUGUCAAACUAUUAAUGAAUUCUUUAAUGGUUUUUUUCA